rnacentral:rRNA from 1 species
UACGUAGGGGGCGAGCGUUGUCCGGAUUCAUUGGGCGUAAAGGGCGAGUAGGUGGUUAUGCAAGUCGGACGUGAAAACUCCAGGCUCAACCUGGAGACGCCGCCCGAUACUGCAUUGACUAGAGUUCGGUAGGGGAUCACGGAAUACCUGGUGUAGCGGUGAAAUGCGCAGAUAUCAGGUGGAACACCGGUGGCGAAGGCGGUGAUCUGGGCCGACACUGACACUGAAUCGCGAAAGCGUGGGGAGCGAACAGGAUUAGAAACCCCGUAGUCC